rnacentral:rRNA from 1 species
AUUGAACGCUGGCGGAAUGCUUUACACAUGCAAGUCGAGCGGCAGCACGGGGGUAACCCUGGUGGCGAGCGGCGAACGGGUGAGUAAUACAUCGGAACAUGCCCAGUCGUGGGGGAUAACACUUCGAAAGAAGUGCUAAUACCGCAUACGUCCUGAGGGAGAAAGCGGGGGAUCGCAAGACCUCGCGCGAUUGGAGUGGCCGAUGUCAGAUUAGCUAGUUGGUGGGGUAAAGGCCUACCAAGGCAACGAUCUGUAGCUGGUCUGAGAGGAUGAUCAGCCUCACUGGGACUGAGACACGGCCCAGACUCCUACGGGAGGCAGCAGUGGGGAAUUUUGGACAAUGGGGGCAACCCUGAUCCAGCCAUUCCGCGUGAGUGAAGAAGGCCUUCGGGUUGUAAAGCUCUUUCGGCAGGAACGAAACGGUGAGCUCUAACAUAGCUUGCUAAUGACGGUACCUGAAGAAGAAGCACCGGCUAACUACGUG